AAGCACGUUUCAUCAGUGUUUUACACUGGUCUUUACCUAUAUUGACGAUUUAAGCGUCUAUUAGUGCUUCGUCUGUGUAAAAUCUUUAUCGUUUUAAUCGACUUUCAUAACGCCGUUCAAUCAUUUAUUUCUUUGUUUUCUUUUUGCAGUUUCCAUUCAGUUAUUCCCUUCCGCGAAUAUAAGUCGUUUGACCGCACGUUUCACCCUGUGCCGAAACGACAUUGCGGCACCAACCACAGUAGUAAGUAUACGGCGGCGUUGUAUUUCACUGGAAAUCGCGGGAAUUUAUUCCGGGUCGAAACGCGAGAGUUGCAAUCGCUGAUGAGAGUAUUCGAACUCUCCGCUAAUUUUUAGACUUCGGUCGGGUCGUGUUAGGUUAGGAUCAUACAUAAUACGACCGAGUUUUCGGCGAGGUUAUCUCGGGCAGUCUCUCGAAAAUACACUCUAGACCCCCACGUUCCGUCCGGAAACUAUAUGAAAUAUGAUCAAGUAUUUGACCCGACGCGAAACCAAAUAGGGUAUACUACACAAAUAUGCGAAU